GAUGAACGCUGGCGGCGUGCCUAAUACAUGCAAGUCGAGCGAACAGACGAGGAGCUUGCUCCUCUGACGUUAGCGGCGGACGGGUGAGUAACACGUGGAUAACCUACCUAUAAGACUGGGAUAACUUCGGGAAACCGGAGCUAAUACCGGAUAAUAUAUUGAACCGCAUGGUUCAAUAGUGAAAGACGGUUUUGCUGUCACUUAUAGAUGGAUCCGCGCCGCAUUAGCUAGUUGGUAAGGUAACGGCUUACCAAGGCAACGAUGCGUAGCCGACCUGAGAGGGUGAUCGGCAACAAUGGAACUGAGACACGGGCCAUACUCCUACGGGAGGCAGCAGUAGGGAAUCUUCCGCAAUGGGCGAAAGCCUGACGGAGCAACGCCGCGUGAGUGAUGAAGGUCUUCGGAUCGUAAAACUCUGUUAUUAGGGAAGAACAAAUGUGUACGUAACUAUGCACGUCUUGACGGUACCUAAUCAGAAAGCCACGGCUAACUACGUG
rnacentral:rRNA from 1 species